UACGUAGGCAGCGAGCGUUGUUCGGAGUUACUGGGCGUAAAGGGUGUGUAGGCGGUUGUUUAAGUUUGGGGGGAAAUCUCCCGGCUCAACUGGGAGGGUGCGCCGAAUACUGAGCGACUAGAGUGCGGGAGAGGAAAGUGGAAUUCCUGGUGUAGCGGUGAAAUGCGUAGAUAUCAGGAGGAACACCGGUGGUGUAGACGGCUUUCUGGACCGUAACUGACGCUGAGACACGAAAGCGUGGGUAGCAAACAGG
rnacentral:rRNA from 1 species